rnacentral:tmRNA from 1 species
GAAUGGUUAUGUAAGCAUGCCGAGCCUUGCGAUGACGCUCGUAAAUCUUGAUCGCGAACAACAAUUGGCGAAAACAAUUUUGCUCUCGCAGCCUAGUCUGAUCAAAUCAGGUUAAGCUUAUCCAGACACAAGGUGUUUGGACGGGACAUCCCGCAGGUGGAAAUGCCUGAUACCGGCCUGAUCACGGGGUGCUAAUCAAUUUCGGGAUAGCUUUGGCGGAGCUUCGACACCAAAGCGAAAUUCAGAAGAUAAGACAGGGUUUAGGAUGGCUGUUUCCUUGCACUGUACGAAAACCAAUAGCAGCAUAAGCAUGUAGAAAGCUUAGGUAUUCCUUGUUUGGACCAGGGUUCGACUCCCUGCAGCUCCACAU